rnacentral:rRNA from 1 species
AGGAAUCUGCCUGGUAGUGGGGGACAACGUUUCCCAAGGAACGCUAAUACCGCAUACGUCCUACGGGAGAAAGCAGGGGACCUUCGGGCCUUGCGCUAUCAGAUGAGCCUAGGUCGGAUUAGCUUGUUGGUGAGGUAAUGGCUCACCAAGGCGACGAUCCGUAACUGGUCUGAGAGGAUGAUCAGUCACACUGGAACUGAGACACGGUCCAGACUCCUACGGGAGGCAGCAGUGGGGAAUAUUGGACAAUGGGCGAAAGCCUGAUCCAGCCAUGCCGCGUGUGUGAAGAAGGUCUUCGGAUUGUAAAGCACUUUAAGUUGGGAGGAAGGGCAGCUAGCGAAUACCUGGUUGUUUUGACGUUACCGACAGAAUAAGCACCGGCUAACUCUGUGCCAGCAGCCGCGGUAAUACAGAGGGUGCAAGCGUUAAUCGGAAUUACUGGGCGUAAAGCGCGCGUAGGUGGUUUGUUAAGUUGGAUGUGAAAGCCCCGGGCUCAACCUGGGAACUGCAUCCAAAACUGGCAAGCUAGAGUAUGGUA